rnacentral:rRNA from 1 species
AAUAGAUACCCGGGUAGUCCACGCCGUAAACGAUGGAUACUAGCUGUUGGAGGUAUCGACCCCUUCAGUAGCGAAGCUAACGCGUUAAGUAUCCCGCCUGUGGAGUACGGUCGCAAGACUAAAACAUAAAGGAAUUGACGGGGACCCGCACAAGCGGUGGAUCGUGUUCUUUAAUUCGAUGCUAAACGAAGAACCUUACCAGGGUUUGACAUCCCUUGAAUUAAUCCGAAAGGAUUGAGUGCUUUAUUGAACAAGGUGACAGGUGAUGCAUGGCCGUCGUCAGCUCGUGUCGUGAGAUGUUUGGUUAAGUCCAUCAACGAGCGCAACCCUUGCAAGUAGUUGUAUUUUCUACUUGGACUGCCCCGGUAACGGGAGGAAGAGGGAUGAUGUCAGGUCAGUAUUCCCUUACAUCCUGGGCUAGAAACACGAUACAAUGGCUAGUACAAUGCGCAGCGAAGCCGCGAGGUGAAGCAAAUCGCAUCAAAGCUAGUCCCAGUUCGGAUUGGAGGCUGAAACUCGCUCCAUGAAGUCGGAAUCG